UCUGCAAGUGGCACUGGCAUGCUAAAUAUCAAGUUUUGCUUGYUGUUGUGACUGAUCAACAUMUCAUGUCGUUUCAGUUGGCGAAACAAAAGCUCAUGUGUGUUCUUAACACUUCCUAGCAUGAAGUCAGACAAGUGA
rnacentral:rRNA from 1 species